rnacentral:rRNA from 1 species
AUACGGAGGCUGCGAGCGUUAAUCGGAAUUACUGGGCGUAAAGCGUGCGUAGGCGGUUUGCUAAGUCAGAUGUGAAAGCCCCGGGCUUAACCUGGGAACUGCAUUUGAUACUGGCAGACUAGAGUAUGAUAGAGGGGGGUAGAAUUCCUGGUGUAGCGGUGAAAUGCGUAGAUAUCAGGAGGAAUACCAGUGGCGAAGGCGGCCCCCUGGAUCAAUACUGACGCUGAGGUACGAAAGCGUGGGGAGCGAACAGGAUUAGAUACCCUAGUAGUCC